UACGUAGGGGGCUAGCGUUGUCCGGAAUCAUUGGGCGUAAAGCGCGUGUAGGCGGUCCGGUAAGUCCGCUGUGAAAGUCGAGGGCUCAACCCUCGAAAGCCGGUGGAUACUGUCGGGCUUGAGUACGGGAGAGGCGAGUGGAAUUCCUGGUGUAGCGGUGAAAUGCGUAGAUAUCAGGAGGAAUACCGAUGGCGAAGGCAGGUCUCUGGGCUGACACUGACGCUCAUGCACGAAAGCGUGGGGAGCAAACAGG
rnacentral:rRNA from 1 species